UACACAUGCAGUCGAGCGGGGGAAGGUAGCUUGCUACCGGACCUAGCGGCGGACGGGUGAGUAAUGCUUAGGAAUCUGCCUAUUAGUGGGGGACAACAUCUCGAAAGGGAUGCUAAUACCGCAUACGUCCUACGGGAGAAAGCAGGGGAUCUUCGGACCUUGCGCUAAUAGAUGAGCCUAAGUCGGAUUAGCUAGUUGGUGGGGUAAAGGCCUACCAAGGCGACGAUCUGUAGCGGGUCUGAGAGGAUGAUCCGCCACACUGGGACUGAGACACGGCCCAGACUCCUACGGGAGGCAGCAGUGGGGAAUAUUGGACAAUGGGGGGAACCCUGAUCCAGCCAUGCCGCGUGUGUGAAGAAGGCCUUAUGGUUGUAAAGCACUUUAAGCGAGGAGGAGGCUACUCUAGUUAAUACCUAGAGAUAGUGGACGUUACUCGCAGAAUAAGCACCGGCUAACUCUGUGCCAGCAGCCGCGGUAAUACAGAGGGUGCGAGCGUUAAUCGGAUUUACUGGGCGUAAAGCGUGCGUAGGCGGCUUAUUAAGUCGGAUGUGAAAUCCCCGAGCUUAACUUGGGAAUUGCAUUCGAUACUGGUGAGCUAGAGUAUGGGAGAGGAUGGUAGAAUUCCAGGUGUAGCGGUGAAAUGCGUAGAGAUCUGGAGGAAUACCGAUGGCGAAGGCAGCCAUCUGGCCUAAUACUGACGCUGAGGUACGAAAGCAUGGGGAGCAAACAGGAUUAGAUACCCUGGNUAGUCCAUGCCGUAAACGAUGUCUACUAGCCGUUGGGGCCUUUGANGCUUUAUGGCGCACUAACGCGAUAAUAGACCGCCUGGGGAGUACGGUCGCAGACUAAAACUCAAAUGAAUUGACGGGGCCCGCACAAGCGGUGGAGCAUGUGGUUUAAUUCNAUGCNACGCGAAGAACCUUACCUGGGCCUUGACAUACUANAACUUUCCAGAGAUGGAUGGUGCCUUCGGAUCUAGAUACGGUGCUGCAUGGCUGUCGUCGCUC
rnacentral:rRNA from 1 species